GCGGGCGUGGCGGAACUGGCAGACGCGCGGGAUUUAGGAUCCCGUGGGGUAACCCGUGCAGGUUCGAAUCCUGUCGCCCGCA
rnacentral:tRNA from 1 species